rnacentral:rRNA from 1 species
GUAGGUGGCAAGCGUUGUCCGGAAUUAUUGGGCGUAAAGCGCGCGCAGGUGGUUCUUUAAGUCUGAUGUGAAACGCCCCCCGGCUCAACCGGGGAGGGUCAUUGGAAACUGGGGAACUUGAGUGCAGGAGAGGAAAGUGGAAUUCCACGUGUAGCGGUGAAAUGCGUAGAUAUGUGGAGGAACACCAGUGGCGAAGGCGACUUUCUGGCCUGUAACUGACACUGAGGCGCGAAAGCGUGGGGAGCAAACAGGAUUAGAUACCCUGGUAGUCCACGCCGUAAACGAUGAGUGCUAAGUGUUGGGGGGUUUCCCGCCCCCCCGUCAGUGCUGCAGCUAACGCAUUAAGCACUCCGCCUGGGGAGUACGGUCGCAAGACUG